rnacentral:rRNA from 1 species
AUUGAACGCUGGCGGCAUGCUUUACACAUGCAAGUCGAACGGUAACAGGUUAAGCUGACGAGUGGCGAACGGGUGAGUAAUGCAUCGGAGCGUGCCCGAUCGUGGGGGAUAACGCAGCGAAAGCUGCGCUAAUACCGCAUACGAUCUGAGGAUGAAAGCGGGGGACCGUAAGGCCUCGCGCGAUCGGAGCGGCCGAUGUCAGAUUAGGUAGUUGGUGGGGUAAAGGCCCACCAAGCCGACGAUCUGUAGCUGGUCAGAGAGGACGACCAGCCACACUGGGACUGAGACACGGCCCAGACUCCUACGGGAGGCAGCAGUGGGGAAUUUUGGACAAUGGGCGAAAGCCUGAUCCAGCAAUGCCGCGUGCAGGAAGAAGGCCUUCGGGUUGUAAACUGCUUUUGUACGGAGCGAAAAGGUCCUUUCUAAUACAAGGGGCUCAUGACGGUACCGUAAGAAUAAGCACCGGCUAACUACGUGCCAGCAGCCGCAGUAA